rnacentral:snRNA from 1 species
AGAUGUUAGGGCGAUCUUGCUGCGGCAUCUGUCACCCCAUUGACCGCCAGGGUUGAUUUGGCUGAUCUGGCUGGCUAGGCCGGUGUCCUCAUCCUCCCUCACCACUCCAUGUGCGUCCCUCCCGAAGCUGCAUGCUUGGUCGAAGAGGAUGGCCUUCCCCAAAAAGAGACGGACUGGCCUUCGGUGGAGGGUGUAUGAGUAGCUGUGCUCCUCUGCUACAACCUCCAAACAAGCUUUUAAGAAUCACUGAUGGUUAAUAUUGGGAGUGCAGUUUAUGCAAUUUUAUGGCACUGUAUACCUACAGUAAAUGAACUU